rnacentral:lncRNA from 12 species
GGGGGGGGGGGGGGGGGGGGGGGGGGGGGGGGGGGGGGGGGGGGGGGGGGGGGGGGAGGCUGGGCGAGGAGAGGGCCAGGCCGGGCCACCAGCACCUGGGGAGCUCCAAGGGACAUGGGACAGGGGACAGAGGCUGUGGAGAGCACUGGGGCAGGGCAGUGCCACCACUGGGGCCAGUGUCCUGUCCCUGGGCCCUGCCUUUCCUGCCCCUCUGUCCCAGCCACCCUCUCCCUGCUACCCAACCCCACUGAGCCCCUUCUCUCCCUCCUCCUCCUCCUCCAGGCCAUGGCUGGAAAGCUCACCAAAAUCCUGCUGGUGCUGGCCAUCCUCCAGCACGGGCUGAGGGCACAUGCCCAGGCAGCGCAGACCAAGGCAGAGGUCCUGAGGCAGCAUGAGGAACAGCACAGCCGGAUGACUUGGCUGGCCAUGGCUAGAAGCAUCACCAAAGUCCUGAUGGCAGCAGGCAUCUUCCAAUAUGCACUGAGUGUGGAUCUCCCAGUAGUGAAGGUCACAGAAGAGCUCCUGAGGCAGCAUGAGGAGCAGCGCAGCCAGGAGAUGGCCAAUCUGCAGAAGAUGGAGCAGAGGAUGCAGGAGCAGAGCAGACCCACCCAGGAAAGCGUGCUCCACUCAGCCUGCCUGCAGUGGUGGCUCUGGAACUGUGUGGAAAUUAUCCUCCUGCUCUUUGGGAUAUACUGGCUGCCCACUAGGAAGAGUGCUAGUUAUGGCAGUGGCAGCCAGGAGAAAGCCACCUGCAGUGCCCAGGAGCAGAUGGAGAACUAGGAGGACAAGCCCAUGGAUAAGAUGCAACCUACCCCCAGAAACUGCCAGCUGCUCCGGCUGCCAUCCCUUAUUCUUCAAGCCUACAGGACAAGAGAGGAAAAAAUAAACUAAUUGAGUCAGUGGCACUUCACAGCACAAUUUCCUGGCUCCUGUACCACCCCUUCUGCCCUGUGAUCAGAGCACCUGCUUGUCGUCUGCUUGGAACUCCUUGGGAGAAGAAAAGCCUGAGCUUUCUGGGCCUGCAAGCAAGCAGCAAAGAGGGUAAACUUUUAAAACAGCAAGGCAGGGAGAGGUUUUGGUGAUAGAAGAAAUUGCACGUGGCAAGUCACCUUUAACUGAACUGUCUUCCCUCUGCAGCAUGCUGGAGACAGAGAUGGAUUUUCAGAAACCUUAAUUUUCAGCUAAGGAUAAAAGUGGGACCUAAAAAGGAAUAACUAAUAAUGUUACAAACACAUGUAAUCACCUGUCCCUCACAUGUUGAACAGUCAUAUCUGUGGGCCAUAGGGUGAAGAACAGGGAUCCAAGGGUGUUGAACAGUCAUGUCUAUGGGCCAUAGGGUGAAGAACAGGGAUCCAAGGACACACAAUGUCAGCAGAAACAUGUUGCUCCAGUUCCACAGAGCUCCUUUCCCAGCCCACUUCCAGCCUGCCACCGAGGAGUGUCCAUGGGUGCCAGGGAUAUGGGGCUGGAAGAGUAGGAGGUUCAUUACCUUGUUCCAGAAGUUACUGAGGUGCUAUUUUAGGAAGAGGUCAUCACUGGGCCAUAAAGCACUUGGAUUAUGUCCUCUCUCACCCCUUCUCCUUGGCAAUGGUGGGGAGAAUGCCAGUGGAAAAUUCCUGUGCAUAAUGAGGUCAGAUAUACUAGUUUUUCCAUCUUUUUUAACUACCCAAGCAGUGAAAAGCAACUGGAGUGACAGUCAAGGUUGAUCCAGACACAGCUCCAGGAAGCAUUGUGCAAGAACAGGAUCUUGAUGUAAACAGGAGUCCAGGACCUUAAUAUAAUGGGAGUCACUGAAAACAUCAGGCUGAUUGCCUACUGAGAUGGGGUUGUUCUAAUCAGAAGAAAUAUUUGAAAGCUAACUCUAUCUCCUGGACACACAAUGCCUAAUUCCAAAGAUGAGUAUGGGAACAUGUGACUGAACAGCCCAGCUGGGCCUUGGAGCCUCAGAGCCAGUGUGGGCUGGAAGGAGAAGUGACAUUAAAGAGAGGGAACAGUUUGUACACCAGCCAACACACAGAGGUUUAAUUUCUCCCCAGUAGGUAAAAAGCACUGACAUCUGUGAAAGUCACAGUGCAGUGAAUAACAAACAUCCAAAUGUGGGGCAUGCAGAGAAGCAGCCAGUCCAGCCCUGCCAGCAUCAGCAGCUGCACUCCAAGCACCCAGCUUUUACAGCAGUGACUAUUGACUGAGCCCAGCACCCUUUUAGAAGGACAGGCUUCCCAUCAAACUGGGCAUUAGUGCCCAACUCAGAGAGCUGAUGGCUUUGCUUCAUCAUUUGGCUCUGACACAGGGGAACAGAGCAGCUAGAGAAGGCAGCAAAUGCAGGCAAACCCUUCCAAACUAGUUGAGGUUCUAAAAAGUACUGUUAAGACUCUUGUUUGCACAAAUGAUGAAAACAACGCUGUGGCACAAAAAAGGCUGGCAUUACAAACAGCAUGGUGGAAACUUGUAAGUAAACCAAGUACUAAAUAAGUACACAUAACUGGAUUCAUAAGUUUUUAAUGAGGUGCAAUAAUAAAAGUAAUAAUCAGAGAAAAGAAGGGCUCCAUUUAAAAUUUUUU